rnacentral:rRNA from 1 species
AUUGAACGCUGGCGGCAUGCUUUACACAUGCAAGUCGAACGGCAGCACGGACUUCGGUCUGGUGGCGAGUGGCGAACGGGUGAGUAAUACAUCGGAACGUGCCCAGUUGUGGGGGAUAACUACUCGAAAGAGUAGCUAAUACCGCAUGAGAACUGAGGUUGAAAGCAGGGGAUCGUAAGACCUUGCGCAACUGGAGCGGCCGAUGGCAGAUUAGGUAGUUGGUGGGAUAAAAGCUUACCAAGCCGACGAUCCGAUGCUGGUCUGAGAGGACGACCAGCCACACUGGGACUGGGACACGGCCCAGACUCCUACGGGAGGCAGCAGUGGGGAAUUUUGGACAAUGGGCGAAAGCCUGAUCCAGCAAUGCCGCGUGCAGGAUGAAGGCCUUCGGGUUGUAAACUGCUUUUGUACGGAACGAAAAGCUUCGGGCUAAUACCCUGGAGUCAUGACGGUACCGUAAGAAUAAGCACCGGCUAACUACGUGCCAGCAGCCGCGGUAAGAC